UCAGGUCAAAGGGGCUGAAAUGUGAGACGUACAGCACAGGACAGGAGAGAGUAGACCAAACAGUGAGUCAAAGAAAUCCAAAGUGGAAAAAAAGAAAAAAGAAAAAAGCAAACAAAAAACAUUGAAUGGAAACCCAUCACAUCAGAUCUCAGAGAAACAUUACCUGGAGAAGUUGAGAAAAUACUGCUUCUUGAUUUGAAAAGGAAAGAUUUCUCAGUGGAAAAUACAGCAAAUACUUAAGAUGCUAGAAGACCAAAGUUUCUAGGAAACAGAAGCUUGCUUUCAUAUAGAACCCAAGAGCCCAGGGACAGCACUAUCCACAAUGGGCUGCGUCCUCUCCCCUUGAUCACUAAUUGAGAAAACGCCUUACAGCUGGUUUUCAUGAAGGCAUUUCUACAACUGAGGCUCCUUUUUCUGUGAUAACUCCAGCUUGUAUCAAGUUGACACACAAAACCGGCCAGUACAGGGGGUCACAGGUGAUCAGUGGUGAACAUUCAUGUGAUGUGAUGUCUGCACAGCACAGAUGGCCCACUCUCAGGGUAACGUUAUGUUUGAAGAUGUAAACCCAUUUAACUGAUUAGAAAAUGAUGUCUGGCUAAAGGAAAAAGGAAGAAAACAACAAUGAAGAAGAAGAAGAAGAAGA